rnacentral:misc_RNA from 2 species
UAACCACUCAAGCCUGGCUUGGUAUUGGGGUUUUCGCGUGUUCGCGGCCCUUAAAAUCAGUGGCGGUGCCGUCUGGCUCUAAGCGUAGUAAUUUCUCUCGCUAUAGGGUUCCGGUGGUUACUUGCCAAAACCCCCAUUUUUUCUA